rnacentral:rRNA from 1 species
UUAAUGAAAUUCUUGCUAAAAAUAUGAUUAUUUUAAUAUUUGGUCCUUUCGUACUAAAAUAUUAUAAUUUUUUAAAGAUAGAAACCAACCUGGCUUACGCCGGUCUGAACUCAGAUCAUGUAAGAAUUUAAAAGUCGAACAGACUUAAAAUUUGAACGGCUACACCCAAAAUUAUAUCUUAAUCCAACAUCGAGGUCGCAAUCUUUUUUAUCGAUAUGAACUCUCCAAAAAAAUUACGCUGUUAUCCCUAAAGUAACUUAAAUUUUUAAUCAUUAUUAAUGGAUCAAUUGUUCAUAAAUUAAUGGUUUUAAAAAUUAAAAGUUUUUUAAAUUUUAAUAUCACCCCAAUAAAAUAUUUUAACUUAUUAUAACAAAAAUAAUCUUUAUAAUUAAAAUAAAUAAAAUAUAAAGAUUUAUAGGGUCUUCUCGUCUUUUAAAUUUAUUUUAGCUUUUUGACUAAAAAAUAAAAUUCUAUAAAAAAUUUAAAUGAAAC